rnacentral:rRNA from 1 species
AGUGAACGCUGGCGGUAGGCCUAACACAUGCAAGUCGAACGGCAGCACAGUAAGAUCUUGCUCUUACGGGUGGCGAGUGGCGGACGGGUGAGGAAUACAUCGGAAUCUACUUUUUCGGGGGGGAUAACGUAGGGAAACUUACGCUAAUACCUCAUACGACCUACGGGUGAAAGCAGGGGAGCUUCGCACUUUUCCCGUUUGAUUGAGCCGGUGUCGGAUUAGCUAGUUGGGGGGGUAAAGGCCCACCAAGGCGACGAUCCGUAGCUGGUCUGAGAGGAUGAUCAGCCACACUGGAACUGAGACACGGUCCAGACUCCUACGGGAGGCAGCAGUGGGGAAUAUUGGACAAUGGGCGAAAGCCUGAUGCAGCAAUGCCGCGUGGGUGAAGAAGGCCUUCGGGUUGUAAAGCCCUUUUGUUGGGAAAGAAAAGCAGCAGGUUAAUACCCCGCUGUUCUGACGGUACCCAAAGAAUAAGCACCGGCUAACUUCGUG